UAUUAAGCAGUGCUGGUUUUUAUGCAGUUGCAUCGGUUAUCUGGUUAUCUGUAGUUGGAAGAAUGUUUCUGAUGUGAUAUUUAUAUAUAUAAAUCGUAUGUGCUUGAUGUUUGACGAUGUGAUAACUUACUACUUGUGUGUACUUACUCCGCUACAUCUCGGAUAUCUUUUUGGAAAGUCACAGAAUCGAUCACAUAAACAAGACCCUUUGCAGAUAACUUGAAUUGAUCAAAAAAUUUAUAACGCAAACGUUCAUGUCCAGGUAUAUCAACAAUCUUUAAGGAACGCUAAAUAAAUUAAUACUUUAGAGGCCUAUGUUUCUGAUGUGUGUGUCUUAACAAAUUUAGAACAAAGUAAACGUGCAUAUAUCAGUGUUUUACCAGCAUCACUAAGACCAGUUAAUAAUAUACUGUUUCCUAUAGAUCUUGUCCUGUGCCAUAUGGCAAAUAACACUAAGCAAGGAAUAGAAUAGAAAUUUAUAUAAGUAGUAGUAAUGUUUAAGAUUGAGCUGUCAAUACCAAACAAAUGGUUCUACAGACGUAGGCUUAUGAAUUUUAGGAUAAAUGCCUAAGCAAAUAUUUAUACAAAAAUGUAUUUAUUUUUAUAUUAUGUAUACAAUUACAAUGGUAUGUUUGUUUCA
rnacentral:lncRNA from 1 species